UACAGAGGUCUCGAGCGUUAGGCGGAAUUACUGGGCGUAAAGCGUGCGCAGGCGGUUUUGUAAGUCUGUCGUAAAAGCCCCGGGCUUAACCUGGGAAUUGCGAUGGAGACUGCAAGGCUUGAAUCUGGCAGAGGGGGGUAGAAUUCCACGUGUAGCAGUGAAAUGCGUAGAGAUGUGGAGGAACACCGAUGGCGAAGGCAGCCCCCUGGGUCAAGAUUGACGCUCAUGCACGAAAGCGUGGGGAGCAAACAGG
rnacentral:rRNA from 1 species